rnacentral:lncRNA from 1 species
CUCCUUUCGGCCAAACCCUUGCGAUCUCAAUUAGCAACCGUUCGAUUAACAAUAAUCCGUUCAAUCAGCCAUCUGCCAUUUCCGUCCAAACCCUUUUCCGAUUCCAAUUUUCCCAAGUCACCUAUAAUGGUCGAUCGCUGUCAUCGCUACUGCUUUACUCUUUCAACAAACCCAGGUAUUUGACAAUUUCAUAAAUGCGCCUCUGGUCAGUACUCCAGGUUUAUCUCCAGCAUUUGGAAGGUUCUACAUUUUAUCAUCUAAUUAAGGUGUGUGGAAUUUCAAAUAUGUUCUACUGUUUUCGGGUGAAUGCUUUUGCUUGGCGGGAACAUGUUCUGUUUAUCAUAAUAGAAAUUGAUUAGUUCUACAUGAGGAGGAAUUGUGCAUGCGAACGUUGUUUGCUUCUUUAUAAUUAUUGGUGCAAUUGCUGGUCUUUAUUUGAUUUUUUUUUUUUCUUUCUUGCGAUUUCACACGUCCACGAGGAAUUUUUCUUUUUUUCGAUGUUUGGGAUUUUGAACACCAACUUGGUUUUGCUUGUGUGUAGGAAGGAUAUGAACAGGUCAUAAUAUAUUGAUUUGAUUGUGCUCUCAUGAGGGAGCCAUUUGCUGAGAUUAACAACCUGUUCCUGAGCCAAAGGGAACCAUUGAUUCAUUGGCAGUAUUGACGUAAAAGUUUGGAAGGAGAGGUAGCGACAUGAAGGUGAAAUCCUCCUGUACAUUAGUUAAAAUUGUUUGAGUAAUUAGCUAUAUUGUCAAUUCGUUUAUAUACUGAUGUUAAGGAAUUCUUUCGAUUGAAACAUAGCAGACUACUUUAAGAGAGCUGUGGAGCUGAAGGAUGCAGAGGCCUUGAACAAAUGCACAAACUUCCUCUGGUAGGUGAAGAAUGAUCUCUGGGCUGCCAAGGAAACCUACUUGGAAACCAUUGAAUAAUGAAGUUUCCACGUGCUAAAAUGUUUAGUGCAAUGGCAAACUCUUUGAGUUGGCCAAUGAUGCUCUUAGAAUUAUUUAGAUAUACUCUACAUAUUGAC